ACUCAAAUGAAUAGACGGGGGCCCGCACAAGCAGCGGAGCGUGUGGUUUAAUUCGAUGGUACGCGCAGAACCUUACCUGGGCUUGACAUGGCCGUGGUAGCGAAGCGAAAGCCGAGCGACCCUUCGGGGAGCGGUCACAGGUGCUGCAUGGCUGUCGUCAGCUCGUGUCGUGAGAUGUUGGGUUAAGUCCCGCAACGAGCGCAACCCUCGCCGUUAGUUACACGUGUCUAACGGGACUGCCGGAGUCAAACCGGAGGAAGGUGGGGAUGAAGUCAAGUCAGCAUGGCCUUGAUGUCCAGGGCGACACACACGCUACAAUGGUCGGUACAGUGGGUUGCGACCGCGCGAGCGGAAGCUAAUCUCCAAAGCCGGCCUCAGUUCAGAUUGCAGUCUGCAACUCGACUGCAUGAAGGUGGAGUUGCUAGUAACCGCGCGUCAGCGAUAGUGCGGUGAAUACUGUUCCCGGGCCUUGUACACACCGCCCGU
rnacentral:rRNA from 1 species